AUGAUUCAAGGCAGUUUAGUGACUUGUGUCAACAAAUACUUCAAAUUAAAGAAACUUUAUCUCACAAUAAGAACGAGAAAAGAACAAACGGCGCUGCUGCAUUCACCUUUUCUCUCUCUCCGGCGGCGGCGCAACCCUUCUCUCCGUUGUUCAAAUAUCUGCACUCACUUCAUAUCUCAAAGCAAUCAUAUAUUUUGUUAG